ensembl:lncRNA
CUUUCCUUUCCUUUCCUUUCCUUUCCUUUUCUUUUUGCUGUCCAGACUUUCAAAAAAAACAUCUCAAUAAUACGCCCCUUUGGUGCUUGGCCCCUAUAUACAAAUAUUAAAUAAAAUAAAGCCUUUAUUAGUGAAUUGAUUUAAAAGACUUAAUGAUUUUUUUUAAACAUAGCUUAUUAAUAAUACCAAAUGACUUAAACUUGAAAAUAGCCUAUCUAUACAUUUGUUAAUGAAAAUAGACACUUAUUUAGGGUGAGUCAAUUAGGAUUUUAUUUUUGGAAGAACUAUCCCUUUAGGGCCAGUGAUGGAGUACUCGAGUCCUGGACACAGACUCGAGUCCGACUCAAGUCACUAUUCUUUGGACUCGAGUCCGACUCGAGACUCCAUUCUCUGGACUCGUGACUCGACUUGGACUCGCGGACUGAUGACUUGUACUUGGACUCGGACUCGAGGAUAUCUAAAAUCAGACUUGAGGAUUCAUCAUGUUGUUUUUGACUAAAUAUGUUAUAAAAAAAAAAUUAUAUAAGGUAUUACACUUUUCCUGUUUCGUGCCCAAGACCGGCCGGGAUCUAUUUUUUUCCCUCACAGACACUGCUACCACUCGCUCUCUUUGCUUGACAACAGACUCACUGACGUCACUCACUUUACGCUUGUGCAUGAUUCGGAGGCUAAAUGUUCACAUUUGGAAAAUGCAGAAAGAUGUGCCCCGGAUCGUGAACUUCGCCUACACAAAUUUUGCAUCUAAUGCUGGAAAGAGCAGCGCUAAAUGUUGUGUGUGUAAUCGCACAAUUGAGGAAAAGACUGGGACAACUUCAAACUUUAACAGACACCUGUCAUGGAUGCACCCAGAAAAAAGAAAGAAACUCAUAAGUUUGCAACUUGAAGAUGACACAAUUUCCAUUUUUGGGCAGGGGCGCCCCCAAGGGGUGGCCACGGCCACCACUGUAUAAACUCUGGCCACCCCUGUGGCCACCCCUAGGAUGAUUUGCAGUGGCUACUAUUAAUUUAAAUCUAUUUAUUUUAGAUCUAUAUAAUUUAUAUAUCAUUUAAUAUAGUUACUAUCACACGAAGAGUGACGUUUUUCUCCAGAAGUCUGCAUAAUUGCAAAUGUGACAUUGAUUUUAUACAACAGUUCAAUAAACAAGAAGUUAAUAUCAAGAGUUUUACGUUUUAGACAACAUAUUCACUUUUUGCGCUCUAUUUCUAAAAACAAAAAUCAUUCCAAACACAGCCACUGUUUUGCGUCUCUGAGCAACAUGAUAGUGUUUCGUUCCUGAAUGAAUCAAACGUUUAAAUGAUUCGGUUCAAUCGCAAUGACUCACUUAUUAACAGUGACUCGCUGCCACCUACUGGCUGUUUUAAUUUUUACAUUUAAGGUACCAUUUCAUUUUUUAAACAAUUUCAAACAUCAGUUUUCAAUGUUUUAUGUUUAAAAUAUCAAAACAUUAUUUAUUAAUUUGUAACUCCAGGUUAAAGUAUUCCAUGUCCCUCAGAGCUCCAUUAAACAGUGUGUAAAAACAUCUAAAUGACACUUCAGAUGCAGUUUCUGUUUUCUCUGCAUUGCAAAGAUCAAUUUUGUUGAUACUGAUCGCAUUUGCUCGGUAACAGCCCAAAUGCAAGUGUCUGACUUAAAAGAUGGUGCACACUUUUAGAAAAAAAUGGCGUAAAGGUUAAAAAAAAAAAAAAGCCUCAGCUGUCAGCACACUUAGAAAUAAGAUAUCAGCACAACAACACACACAGCAAAAUAUUGUCUAAUUUUCGUUAUCGAUAAAAUCCCAGAAAUCACAGAGAUAUCAUAUUUUGGCAAUAUUGCAAACCCUUUAUUUAUUUAUUUAUUUUUUGAUGUGCCACCCCAAGAUUUACUGUGGCCUCAUCUGGCCACCCCUAUUAAAAUUUUCUGGGGGCGCCACUGUUUUUGGGUGAACUUUCCCUUAUGUAAGCAGUUUUCGUAUAAGUAGCCUACAAGGAGUACUGCAGUGAAGGUACACAUAGUUCACAUAAAUUCACAUAAAACAUAUUUGCAUACUAUACUUUGUGAUGUAAAUAUGUAAAAUAUCACAUAUUUUAUGAAUAGGCAUAUAUUGAUUAGGUCAAAUGGAAAAACCCUGACAAAAGUCCUUUAUAUUCAUGAAAUUAAUGAUAUUCUUUAUGAUUAUUUAAAUAAUAAUCAUGUGUAGGCUACACCCAUGAUUGUUUUAUUUAUUUACUUAUUAUUGAACAUGCAUUAUGUUUUAGGUGGGAUAUAAUGAAAGCAAAAGGCAAACAAGACCAAUAACCUUGAUUUAUUAACCUGUUAACACAGUAUACACCAUUUCCCCUUGAUAUGUACUUACAAGUCAUUUGCCCACUGGCAACUAUAGUUGCUGCUUGGACAUUUGACUAAGUAUACAAAAAACUAAAGAUCUCCUGGAAGAUUUGUUUUGUUUGGAUGAUUCUAGAAACCUUCAUGAUUAUGUAGAUAUAUAUAUGUCAACAAAAAAUACUUAUUAGUAAUAUGAAAAUUACAUUUCUUUGGGAGGGUUUGCCUUCGCCAUGCUUCCUGGAAGUAGGGGUAGAAACUUAACAGCCUCAUGUAACAGGAAGGAAGUGAAUAUCUUGAAAUCCUUUAUUUGGUUGUUUGCUUGCAUGUCAUUGAGAAAUAAAACAUGGAUAACAUCUAGAAAAAUACUUACAAAAGGAAAAUGACAAGUAUAAACUGCGGCAACUAUAGUUGCCGGUGGGCUUAAAUGGGUUUAAUGCUUGCCUAUAUAAGCUGUUUGUUCACAAUCUUACUUUGUUAAGUCUUGUGUUCUAGUUGCAUUUCUGAGUGCUUAAUCUGGUUUCGUGUUACUGUCUCUGAAUUUCCUGCCUGCUUUUUCAUGGCUGCAGAGGCUGCUCUUGAACUCACUGUUUGUCAAUGUAAUGACCAUGGAGCUCAUCCCUGAACUCACUGCCUGUCCUGUUAUGGCCACAGAGGCCAUUUCUAACCUCUUUGUGCUCUUUUACAGUUCUGCCCAAACCACAUUGUUUUCUCAACUAAAGCAAACACUGAUCUCGACAAUAGUAAUUUCAAAUAAAGCACAAUAAAACAUCAACAUCUAAACCUGUUAAUUCUCAAUGAGAGCUUCUCUAGAAGUCUAACAAAAAUAAAUUUGGUCUUGUUAGUAAUGCAGGAUGCUGGUAAUGCAGUUUGUGGAGUUGUUUAAUCCUCCUCUGCUAAAAUCCUGAGAGAUUUAUUGUCUUUUAUUUGUAGAUGAUUUCAGGCUGUGUGGCUUUAAAGGGUUACUCCACUGCAAAAUGAAAAUUUUGUCAUUAAUCACUUACCCCCAUGUCGUUCCAAAUCCGUAAAAGCUUUGUUCGUCUUCGGAACACAAUUUUAAGAUAUUUUGGAUGAAAAUCGGCUUGAGACUGUCCCAUAGACUGCCAAAUAAAUAACAGUGUCAAGGUCCAGGAAAGUAUGAAAAGCAUCGUCAGAAUAGUCCAUCUGCCAUUGUUAUAUAUUAUAAAACAAGUGGAGCAGUGUGAUUUGAGGGUUAACCUUAUUUUGUGGGAAAAUGAUUUUGUUAUAGCAAUGUGUACUCUUAACCUUUUUUAUAUAUAUAUUUGUUUGUUGUGGAUUAAUUGUAUGGUGUGCUGUGGUUUUUCUCUUGUUUGCUGUGGUGUUUUGGAUUUUUGGUGUCGUUUUUCCUCCUUCACAAACUGCAACAACAAACACUAAUUGACACACAUGUACAACCCCGUUUACAUCAGCGAUCUAAUUUGCCAGCUGAUCAAGUCAUUCGGAUAAAAAGGGAGCUAGAUCUCUUACCGGGGGAACGCUCUGGACGGAGGAACGAGCCGUGUACUGAAGCGGGUGGGCGCUCACUGAUCUCGCCGCUCUGUGUUGUUGCUGACUGGAUCUCCUGUACGCUGGUAGAACGGAAUCUCGGAUUCUGCAGUGUCAACGCUCACGAACCCCCGAUUGAAG